GUAUUCAUCAGUCUUCAUCAUUGACUUGUCUGUAGUCAGAAGAUAGCUGUGCAGCAUGGACCUCAGUACAUGUGAGUAUGUAUUUGCAUUAAGAUCUAUUUACCCUUACUGUCAAUGGUUGUCUAUAACAUACAUGGAAUACUUUAAUUGCCAUUAACACAUUUUUGUUUUUGUUUUUGUUUUUAACAGUUUGUCAAUCCUUGGUGUUUCAUUGAAUACAACUGGUGAUCCUAUAGCAUCUAAUGUUAGACCCGGAUAUCUAAGCCUACUUUUGCAUGGUGAUAUACUUGACAAGGCAGAGGGUGAUUGUGCUUCUGAAGCCACGAGACCGGUUCUAUCUGAUGAUAAUCAGGUCAUCAGAGACUCCGACACAACAGAGUCCAUUCUGCCUGGCGAACACGAAUUGGAUAUACCGAUCGGGGUGUCUGAAGUGGAGGACACAUCGAGUAGGCCUACC